CAGGCUUAACACAUGCAAGUCGAGGGGCAGCCUUGUCUUAGCUUGCUAAGGCCGAUGGCGACCGGCGCACGGGUGAGUAACACGUAUCCAACCUGCCGUCUACUCUUGGACAGCCUUCUGAAAGGAAGAUUAAUACAAGAUGGCAUCAUGAGUCCACAUGUUCACAUGAUUAAAGGUAUUCCGGUAGACGAUGGGGAUGCGUUCCAUUAGAUAGUAGGCGGGGUAACGGCCCACCUAGUCUUCGAUGGAUAGGGGUUCUGAGAGGAAGGUCCCCCACAUUGGAACUGAGACACGGUCCAAACUCCUACGGGAGGCAGCAGUGAGGAAUAUUGGUCAAUGGGCGAGAGCCUGAACCAGCCAAGUAGCGUGAAGGAUGACUGCCCUAUGGGUUGUAAACUUCUUUUAUAAAGGAAUAAAGUCGGGUAUGCAUACCCGUUUGCAUGUACUUUAUGAAUAAGGAUCGGCUAACUCCGUGCCAGCAGCCGCGGUAAUACGGAGGAUCCGAGCGUUAUCCGGAUUUAUUGGGUUUAAAGGGAGCGUAGAUGGAUGUUUAAGUCAGUUGUGAAAGUUUGCGGCUCAACCGUAAAAUUGCAGUUGAUACUGGAUAUCUUGAGUGCAGUUGAGGCAGGCGGAAUUCGUGGUGUAGCGGUGAAAUGCUUAGAUAUCACGAAGAACUCCGAUUGCGAAGGCAGCCUGCUAAGCUGCAACUGACAUUGAGGCUCGAAAGUGUGGGUAUCAAACAGGAUUAGAUACCCUGGUAGUCCACACGGUAAACGAUGAAUACUCGCUGUUUGCGAUAUACGGCAAGCGGCCAAGCGAAAGCGUUAAGUAUUCCACCUGGGGAGUACGCCGGCAACGGUGAAACUCAAAGGAAUUGACGGGGGCCCGCACAAGCGGAGGAACAUGUGGUUUAAUUCGAUGAUACGCGAGGAACCUUACCCGGGCUUAAAUUGCAGAUGAAUUACGGUGAAAGCCGUAAGCCGCAAGGCAUCUGUGAAGGUGCUGCAUGGUUGUCGUCAGCUCGUGCCGUGAGGUGUCGGCUUAAGUGCCAUAACGAGCGCAACCCUUGUUGUCAGUUACUAACAGGUUCCGCUGAGGACUCUGACAAGACUGCCAUCGUAAGAUGUGAGGAAGGUGGGGAUGACGUCAAAUCAGCACGGCCCUUACGUCCGGGGCUACACACGUGUUACAAUGGGGGGUACAGAGGGCCGCUACCACGCGAGUGGAUGCCAAUCCCCAAAACCUCUCUCAGUUCGGACUGGAGUCUGCAACCCGACUCCACGAAGCUGGAUUCGCUAGUAAUCGCGCAUCAGCCACGGCGCGGUGAAUACGUUCCCGGGCCUUGUACACACCGCCCGUCAAGCCAUGGGAGCCGGGGGUACCUGAAGUGCGUAACCGCGAGGAGCGCCCUAGGGUAAAACUGGUGACUGGGGCUAAGU
rnacentral:rRNA from 1 species